rnacentral:rRNA from 1 species
ACGGGGGGCCUACGGGAGGCAGCAGUGGGGAAUAUUGGACAAUGGGGGCAACCCUGAUCCAGCCAUGCCGCGUGAGUGAUGAAGGCCUUCGGGUUGUAAAGCUCUUUUGGCGGGGACGAUGAUGACGGUACCCGCAGAAUAAGCCCCGGCUAACUUCGUGCCAGCAGCCGCGGUAAGACGAAGGGGGCUAGCGUUGUUCGGAAUUACUGGGCGUAAAGCGAGUGUAGGUGGUUGUCGUAGUCAGGUGUGAAAGCCUUGAGCUCAACUCAAGAAAUGCACUUGAUACUGGAUAACUAGAGGACCGGAGAGGAUAGUGGAAUUCCCAGUGUAGUGGUGAAAUACGUAGAGAUUGGGAAGAACACCAGUGGCGAAGGCGGCUAUCUGGACGGUUUCUGACACUAAGACUCGAAAGCGUGGGGAGCAAACAGGAUUAGAUACCCUGGUAGUCCACGCCGUAAACGAUGGGUGCUAGACGUUGGCGAGCUUGCUCGUCAGUGUCGCAGCUAACGCGUUAAGCACCCCGCCUGGGGAGUACGGCCGCAAGGUUGAAACUC